rnacentral:tRNA from 1 species
GCCUCCAUAGUUCAACGGAUAGAAUGCAGGGUUCCGAAUCCUGUGGUUGAGGUUCGAUUCCUCAUGGAGGCA